CUUUGCGAACUUCGGUUAAUAAUGGGCUACAAAACUCAACUCAAGCCCGAUCUCAGCCCAGGCUCUAAACACUUUGGAUCCGAUAACACUGUCUCCCUCUAGAGCGUCGUCUUCUUCGUUCUCCAUCCCACCUCCGAUCGCAAAAACCAUGUAUAACGCUUUUGUUUCUCACUGAAGCCACUUCAUAACGUCUCUCCAUUAAAUACACCUGUCCAGCUUUCCCACUAUGUCAACUUCAAUGAACCCUUUCUCAACCUCCAUCGCAAAUCCCUAAUUCCUAAGACUUUAAAUAAGGAUGAAGACCUCUCUAAUUCUCACUAAUUCAAGAUUCAAUCAUAUUCCUUCUUUACAAACAGUACAGCUACAACCAAGGCGUCAUCCCAUAUCUUUUUCAGAUUUGAAGCCUCCUGCGUUUCUGGGAAGCACACCAAGUCAAGAGAGGAGAGCUACUGGGAGUCUACAUGCUCAUGCUUGAUGAAUAGGAGGAAAAAAAACUGAGGAAAGUGCCGAGGUUCGCUAAUGCUUGUGGAGCUAUCACGACAACCAAGAAAGGAGCCAUUCCAGCUCUUCCUUCCGACAGUGAAGAUCUCAGCUUUAUUAAAGACCACCAGAGACGUAGUAACAACCCUUUUAAGUCCAAAAGUUGCGCUUCUUAUAUUGUAGUAAUUGCUCAUGAUUCUUAUUUGAGAUAAAAAAAAGAUCUCAAUGUUGUAUCUCUCCUGUUUGUACCCUCAUCUCUUCUGUUUGUAUCCUUCAUCUCUUGCUAAUAGAAGAAGAAAAAGAGUUUGUUCUU